AGCGAACGCUGGCGGCAGGCUUAACACAUGCAAGUCGAACGCCCCGCAAGGGGAGUGGCAGACGGGUGAGUAACACGUGGGAACGUACCCUUUGGUUCGGAAUAACUUGGGGAAACUCAAGCUAAUACCGGAUAAGCCCUUAUGGGGAAAGGUUUACUGCCGAAGGAUCGGCGCGCGUCUGAUUCGCUCGUUGGUGAGGUAAUGGCCCACCAAGGCGACGAUCAGUAGCUGGUCUGGGAGGAUGAUCAGCCACACUGGGACUGAGGCACGGCCCAGACUCCUACGGGAGGCAGCAGUGAGGAAUAUUGGACAAUGGGGGCAACCCGGAUCCAGCCAUGCCGCGUGAGUGAUGAAGGCCUUAGGGUUGUAAAGCUCUUUUACCCGGGACGAUAAUGACUGUACCGGGAGAAUAAGCCCCGGCUAACUUCGUGCCAGCCGCCGCGGUAA
rnacentral:rRNA from 1 species